rnacentral:lncRNA from 1 species
AAAUCAGACAAAUCUAAGCCUUUUUAUUCAUCCCACAUCUCAAAAACUUACAAACUCUGAAGAAAGAGAUGGAUAAGUCAUCCAUGAAGCUGGUUUUUUUGGUUGUGCUCUUGAUUCUCGUAGCUGGUAUUUAAUUUUUUUUUUCAAUAAUGGCAUUGCUAUUAUAGAAAUGUGAAUAGAUUUAAAAUAUUUGAUUAAUUAUAUGAUUGGACGAUACAAAUAUAUAGGUGAGGUUUCGAACAUUGGAGCAGAAGGAAGAGUUAACCAAAUCAUACCGUGCGUCUGUUCUCCUCGAUGCUUUUGCGCCAGCGGCUUUGGUUGUCUUUGCCCCGAAGAUUUGCCAUUGACUUCCCAUCAACCACACCACGGUCCCAGGGUGUCGUCAGAGGAUCCGCCAAUGCCUUAGAAUUGCAAAAAAUCGAAGUAUUACUGUUAAUUGUAAUGUAUUAAUAAUUGAAAAUGAAAGGGAUUCUGAGGUGAAAUGAGAUAUGGCCAUAGGCGGCACAGGCAAUGCAAUUCAUACGCACGACCGACUCAUGUCAAUGACGAAUAUUGGACGUUGGGUCCGAAAAUGGAUUGGGGAGAGUCGAGCAUAUCUCGGAUAAACCCAGUGACAUAGUCAGGAUUUGAGUCUAGUAGAGUCCAUGUUAUGACGUAGUUUAGUCCGUUCAUACAGUGGUACGAUGACGAAGCAUUGACAGCCAAAGAUCCGCAUACAGAUGACGACCAAACAACCGGAAAUAAGGUGACUCGUUACGAAGAAUAGCGGUGAUCAGUCGAUGGAUGAGGUGAACUUACAGACAUAAGGU